GCUAUACAUGCAGUCGAGCGGACAGAUGGGAGCUUGCUCCCUGAUGUUAGCGGCGGACGGGUGAGUAACACGUGGGUAACCUGCCUGUAAGACUGGGAUAACUCCGGGAAACCGGGGCUAAUACCGGAUGCUUGCUUGAACCGCAUGGUUCAAACAUAAAAGGUGGCUUCGGCUACCACUUACAGAUGGACCCGCGGCGCAUUAGCUAGUUGGUGAGGUAACGGCUCACCAAGGCAACGAUGCGUAGCCGACCUGAGAGGGUGAUCGGCCACACUGGGACUGAGACACGGCCCAGACUCCUACGGGAGGCAGCAGUAGGGAAUCUUCCGCAAUGGACGAAAGUCUGACGGAGCAACGCCGCGUGAGUGAUGAAGGUUUUCGGAUCGUAAAGCUCUGUUGUUAGGGAAGAACAAGUACCGUUCGAAUAGGGCGGUACCUUGACGGUACCUAACCAGAAAGCCACGGCUAACUACGUGCCAGCAGCCGCGGUAAUACGUAGGUGGCAAGCGUUGUCCGGAAUUAUUGGGCGUAAAGGGCUCGCAGGCGGUUCCUUAAGUCUGAUGUGAAAGCCCCCGGCUCAACCGGGGAGGGUCAUUGGAAACUGGGGAACUUGAGUGCAGAAGAGGAGAGUGGAAUUCCACGUGUAGCGGUGAAAUGCGUAGAGAUGUGGAGGAACACCAGUGGCGAAGGCGACUCUCUGGUCUGUAACUGACGCUGAGGAGCGAAAGCGUGGGGAGCGAACAGGAUUAGAUACCCUGGUAGUCCACGCCGUAAACGAUGAGUGCUAAGUGUUAGGGGGUUUCCGCCCCUUAGUGCUGCAGCUAACGCAUUAAGCACUCCGCCUGGGGAGUACGGUCGCAAGACUGAAACUCAAAGGAAUUGACGGGGGCCCGCACAAGCGGUGGAGCAUGUGGUUUAAUUCGAAGCAACGCGAAGAACCUUACCAGGUCUUGACAUCCUCUGACAAUCCUAGAGAUAGGACGUCCCCUUCGGGGGCAGAGUGACAGGUGGUGCAAGGUUGUCGUCACCUCCUGUCCUGAGAAGUUUGGGUUAAUUCCCGCACCAG
rnacentral:rRNA from 1 species